UCAAGAUCUUGAGCGUUUGACUGACUCAUUUCAAACGUUAUUAUAUUCAUUUUUUCAAAAUUUAGGCAUAACCUAAUCUCGUUACUCUAUUUACAUACAUUUGUGUACAAUAACUCGGUUUGAUUUAGUAUUUGAAAUAUUAUAAGUGUCAACAUAGGCAUUCAGUUCACUCACAUGUUCCACUGAAUCAAUUAUAUAAACGUUGACCUAAAAUUGACUUCAAAGUUCAGUUUUACAGUCAAUAGGUUUCGAACCUGAAAAAAAAUUGCUACAUUUCACCUGCUGAUAUCUGGCGCUAAUGUACGAGGCUAACCAAUCAAGUGCGAUAUCCUUAUUUUUCUGAUUUUUAUAAGAGGAUUAUAUAAUUUACACAAUCAAAUGCCUUGAAGUAAACAACCCUAAAUCUCUUAGUUCUUCAUUAAGUUCUUUGAAAUUCAUGUUGGCAAUCAGAUGAUCUAUUAUUGCUAAUGAAAAUGUUUAGAAUGUUGUCAUUCUCAAUUGGAUCAAAAACCUCACCAAUAUUCAAACAAGUUAUUGCACUAUAGUUUUAUAAUUUUUUUCAUCACCUUCUUGCGGGAAAUAUUUGAAUCAAACAAUUCUAUAUCACAUGUUUUGUGAAAAAUGUAUUCAUAUUUAUUUAUUAAUACUUCACCAAUUGAAAUCGUGACAAUGAUGACAUGGGAUGGCUACAUGAUUGCUAAGGAAUUCGGUUACAUUUCUGAGUCAAAAACUCAAUAAAAUGAUAUAUGACUAGUGGAGGACGUGGAACAUAUAGAAAAAAAACUGCCUUUCGAGUUGGAGAAGGAAGUACUUUUUUAAGACAGUAUCGAAUUUGCUGCCACAAAAGUCGUAACUAAUUCACCAAAACGAAUAUAAAACCUUUGAUGAAUGGAGGAAAGUCGGAUUAUUGGAUGUUGAAGUCAACUAUACUUGUACUACUGCACAAAUAUUGUUAAAUUCCGAAAUAUAGUAAACUGAACAUGUUGCUGUAAAUAUUAUUCGACAGCUAACAACCCAAGAAAUCCAAGAUACUUGAGUCCAGAUUUUCGAAAGAAGCUAUUCCAUGGUUAUGUGAGGUCCAAACUAGAUGAUGGGGCGAUUAUCUGGUAUCCCAUUUAUAAUUAUCACAUUCAGCAAAUUGAAGCUGUCCAAAGAAAGUUUGUAAAAUUCUUGUCUUCUCGAAUUACAGAUUUAGCCCCCUCGGAUCAUUUUCUGUUUCUAAACUUGAGAAAAUGGCUCAAUAAUUGAAGAUUUUCCAACAAUGAAGAAGUGAUGUCAGCAAGGAGAUUAUGUUGAAAAAUAAAUAAUU